rnacentral:rRNA from 1 species
UACGUAGGGUGCAAGCGUUGUCCGGAAUUAUUGGGCGUAAAGAGCUCGUAGGCGGUCUGUCGCGUCGGACGUGAAAACUCGGGGCUCAACUCCGAGCCUGCGUUCGAUACGGGCAGACUAGAGUUCGGUAGGGGAGACUGGAAUUCCUGGUGUAGCGGUGAAAUGCGCAGAUAUCAGGAGGAACACCGGUGGCGAAGGCGGCUCACUGGACCGGCAUUGACGCUGAGGUGCGAAAGCGUGGGGAGCAAACAGG